GCAUCAAUGGGGUAGUGGGAACCUGGGUUGUUUUUGUGGAGAAGUAGCAGAUCAUGCCCUUAUUGACUCACUGGGGGUUUGAUUCCCUCUUGAUGCA